rnacentral:rRNA from 1 species
CCGACUGCUAUUUGGGUGAGAAUAAGCCAUGCGAGUUGAAUGGGAUACCUAAAGUUCCCAUAGCAAACUGCUCAGUAACACAUGAUCAACUUACCCUAUAGAGAAAAAUACCCUCGGGAAACUGAGGAUAAUAUUUCAUAAUUGAAUUGGCUUGGAAAAGUUUUUCAAUGAAAAGGAUAAAAAAAAUGGUUUUUAUCUGCUAUAGGAUAGGAUCGUGUUCGAUUAUGGUUGUUGGUGAGAUAAUGGCUCACCAAGCCGAUAAUCGAUAGGGGCCGUGAGAGCGGGAGCCCCGAGAUGGGUACUGAGACAACGACCCAGGCCUUACGAGGCGCAGCAGGCGCGGAACCUCCGCAAUACACGAAAGUGUGACGGGGUUACCCAAAGUGUUCAAUAGAACUGUGGUAGGUGAGUAAUGUCCCCUACUAGAAAGGAGAGGGCAAGGCUGGUGCCAGCCGCCGCGGUAAAACCAGCUCUUCAAGUGGUCGGGAUAAUUAUUGGGCUUAAAGUGUCCGUAGCCGGUUUAGUAAGUUCCUGGUAAAAUCGGGUAGCUUAACUAUCUGCAUGCUAGGAAUACUGCUAUACUAGAGGGCGGGAGAGGUCUGAGGUACUACAGGGGUAGGGGUGAAAUCUUAUAAUCCUUGUAGGACCACCAGUGGCGAAGGCGUCAGACUGGAACGCGCCUGACGGUGAGGGACGAAAGCCAGGGGAGCGAACCGGAUUAGAUACCCGGGUAGUCCUGGCCGUAAACGAUGCAUACUAGGUGAUGGUACGGCCAUGAGCCGUAUCAGUGCCGUAGGGAAACCGUUAAGAGUGCCGCCUGGGAAGUACGGUCGCAAGGCUAAAACUUAAAGGAAUUGGCGGGGGAGCACCACAAGGGGUGAAGCCUGCGGUUCAAUUGGAUUCAACGCCGGA